GAUGAACGCUGGCGGCGUGCCUAAUACAUGCAAGUCGAGCGAACGGACGAGAAGCUUGCUUCUCUGAUGUUAGCGGCGGACGGGUGAGUAACACGUGGAUAACCUACCUAUAAGACUGGGAUAACUUCGGGAAACCGGAGCUAAUACCGGAUGAUAUUUUGAACCGCAUGGUUCAAAAGUGAAAGACGGUCUUGCUGUCACUUAUAGAUGGAUCCGCGCUGCAUUAGCUAGUUGGUAAGGUAACGGCUUACCAAGGCAACGAUGCAUAGCCGACCUGAGAGGGUGAUCGGCCACACUGGAACGGAGACACGGUCCAGACUCCUACGGGAGGCAGCAGUAGGGAAUCUGCCGCAAUGGGCGAAAGCCUGACGGAGCAACGCCGCGUGAGUGAUGAAGGUCUUCGGAUCGUAAAACUCUGUUAUUAGGGAAGAACAUAUGUGUAAGUAACUGUGCACAUCGUGACGGUACCGAAUCAGAAAGCAACGGCUAACUACGU
rnacentral:rRNA from 1 species